rnacentral:circRNA from 1 species
ACCGCAAGUUGAGUGGAGGAGGCGGCGGUGGGGCCCCGGACCAGGUGCCUCCAUGGCAGGCUCUGAAGAGCUGGGGCUCCGGGAAGACACGCUGAGGGUCCUAGCUGCCUUCCUUAGGCGUGGUGAGGCUGCCGGGUCUCCUGUUCCAACUCCACCUAGAAGCCCUGCCCAAGAAGAGCCAACAGACUUCCUGAGCCGCCUUCGAAGAUGUCUUCCCUGCUCCCUGGGGCGAGGAGCAGCCCCCUCUGAGUCCCCUCGGCCUUGCUCUCUGCCCAUCCGCCCCUGCUAUGGUUUAGAGCCUGGCCCAGCUACUCCAGACUUCUAUGCUUUGGUGGCCCAGCGGCUGGAACAGCUGGUCCAAGAGCAGCUGAAAUCUCCGCCCAGCCCAGAAUUACAGGGUCCCCCAUCGACAGAGAAGGAAGCCAUACUGCGGAGGCUGGUGGCCCUGCUGGAGGAGGAG